CCUACGGGGGGCUGCAGUGGGGAAUAUUGCACAAUGGGCGCAAGCCUGAUGCAGCCAUGCCGCGUGUGUGAAGAAGGCCUUCGGGUUGUAAAGCACUUUCAGCGGGGAGGAAGGCGGUGAGGUUAAUAACCUCAUCGAUUGACGUUACCCGCAGAAGAAGCACCGGCUAACUCCGUGCCAGCAGCCGCGGUAAUACGGAGGGUGCAAGCGUUAAUCGGAAUUACUGGGCGUAAAGCGCACGCAGGCGGUCUGGCAAGUCGGAUGUGAAAUCCCCGGGCUCAACCUGGGAACUGCAUUCGAAACUGGCAGGCUAGAGUCUUGUAGAGGGGGGUAGAAUUCCAGGUGUAGCGGUGAAAUGCGUAGAGAUCUGGAGGAAUACCGGUGGCGAAGGCGGCCCCCUGGACAAAGACUGACGCUCAGGUGCGAAAGCGUGGGGAGCAAACAGGAUUAGAUACCCCAGUAGUC
rnacentral:rRNA from 1 species